rnacentral:rRNA from 2 species
UACAGAGGUCCCGAGCGUUGUUCGGAUUCACUGGGCGUAAAGGGUGCGUAGGUGGCAUGGCAAGUUUGAUGUGAAAGCUCAGGGCUUAACCCUGAAAUGGCAUUGAAUACUGCUGUGCUGGAGGUUUGGAGGGGGGACUGGAAUUCUCGGUGUAGCAGUGAAAUGCGUAGAUAUCGAGAGGAACACCAGUGGCGAAGGCGAGUCCCUGGACAACACCUGACACUGAGGCACGAAAGCCGGGGGAGCAAACAGG